AAAUUGAAGAGUUUGAUCAUGGCUCAGAUUGAACGCUGGCGGCAGGCCUAACACAUGCAAGUCGAACGGUAACAGGAUACAGCUUGCUGUUUCGCUGACGAGUGGCGGACGGGUGAGUAAUGUCUGGGAAACUGCCUGAUGGAGGGGGAUAACUACUGGAAACGGUAGCUAAUACCGCAUAACGUCGCA
rnacentral:rRNA from 1 species